CAAUAAUUAAUUGUGAUUAAACUAGUGUUAAUUAAUUAUUAUUUUAAUUAAUCCACGUUUUCUUUUCUUAUUUUCCUUCCUAAUUUUCUCUCCCCGUUCUCUAGGGACCGUUGGGGUCGCUCGUGUGCGCUGAGGCCGUCAUGAAUUAUGAUAUGGUUUGGUUAAUUAGCACAUAAUUAAUUAGGAAAUUAGAAGAUAUUUUAAAGUGAAUUAAAAGUUAAUAAAGUAUUUGGUUUAUGUUUAAAAGAAUAGCUGCCAAAAUGCAGCCUUAAUAAACAAAAAUUUUAGAGAUUCAAAUUAUAAAUGAAUAAAAAUAUGCUUAUGCAAUUUUUAAGUAGAGCCGCAGAAACCGUAUUAUAGCUAACUGAUUGAGAUACACCGAAUACGAUAUUACUACGUAGGAAUAAAAAAUAAAAGAAAUAUAGUAUCUACUUAUCAUAUCUCUAUGCAAUUCAAAAACAUACAUAUUUUAUUUG
rnacentral:lncRNA from 1 species